rnacentral:rRNA from 1 species
UACAGAGGUCCCAAGCGUUGUUCGGAUUCACUGGGCGUAAAGGGUGCGUAGGUGGCAAGGAAAGUUUGAUGUGAAAUCUCCGAGCUUAACUCGGAAAUGGCAUUGAAUACUUCCUAGCUAGAGGGUUGGAGGGGGGACUGGAAUUCUCGGUGUAGCGGUGAAAUGCGUAGAUAUCGAGAGGAACACCAGUGGCGAAGGCGAGUCCCUGGACAACUCCUGACACUGAGGCACGAAAGCUAGGGGAGCAAACAGG